rnacentral:rRNA from 1 species
AGCAGCCGCGGUAAUUCCAGCUCCAAUAGCGUAUAUUAAAGUUGUUGCAGUUAAAAAGCUCGUAGUUGAAUUUCGGGGUCAGUAGAUUGGUCGUGCCACAGGUAUGUACUGGUCUUACUGGCUCCUCCUUCCUGAUGAACCGUAAUGCCAUUAAUUUGGUGUUGCGGGGAGACUGGACUGUUACUUUGAAAAAAUUAGAGUGUUUAAAGCAGGCUAACGCUUGAAUACAUUAGCAUGGAAUAAUGAAAUAGGACGUUCGAUCUUAUUUUGUUGGUUUCUAAGAUUGACGUAAUGAUUAAUAGGGAUAGUUGGGGGCAUUAGUAUUCAAUUGUCAGAGGUGAAAUUCUUGGAUUUAUUGAAGACUAACUACUGCGAAAGCAUUUGCCAAGGAUGUUUUCAUUAAUCAAGAACGAAAGUUAGGGGAUCGAAGACGAUCAGAUACCGUCGUAGUCUUAACCAUAAACUAUGCCGACUAGGGAUCGGAUGAUGUUAAUUUUUUAAUGUACUCAUUCGGCGCCUUAAC